CGAAGGAGCAGACAGCCAUCUCGCGAGAUUGUAAUAAAGAUGAGGAAACUGAGGCUCUGAGAAGUUGAGAUUUGCCAAAGAUUACACAGUCUGUCCAUGCAGAGUCAGGACUCAAAUCUAGCUCUCCUGACUCCUCAGGGCUUCUCCCACAAAUUAACACUGCUCCUACUGAAUGGGUGUAGUGAUUAACUAUGGAAGACAAGAAGACCACUGGGCAACCAAAACACUAAAUGGAAAAUUAUCAUAUUCCUGAAAAUGAGAGACUAUGAAUAGUUAAUAGGGAGCUGAAUCUCAAAGAUAAGGAUACACAGAGCACAUCGUUGGUCACAAAAAACUCAAAUCACUUGACCCGGGAGAACUGCAUUCCGGUACUCAGAAAGAACUGACAGGCCUUCCUGUCCCUGAGACACAACAACAUUGAAAUUAGGCCAAUUAAUAAGCCUACAAUGGCUUCUAAGUGUUCAAGCGAAAGGAACAAUUAAUUGAUGGGACAGAUUUAUCUUAAGAAAUUUCUACGGCCGACCCAACAACCUUCAGCAGCCACUACCCUGAUCAAUCAGCAGCCAUCAAUACAGAGGGAAGACCCUCCACCAGGAAAAAGAUUACAACACACUGAAGGCUCAGAUGAUGGUUAAUUUUUUUUAACAAUAAAGCAUUUUUAAUUAAGGUAUGCAAAUUAUUCUAGACACAGUACUAUUGCACACUUAAUAGACAGUAUCAUAUAAACAUAACUUUUAAGUGCAAUAGGAAAACAAAAAAUUGUGUGACUCGCCUUGUUGUAAUAGUCUGGAACUGAAUCCACAAUAUCCUUGAGCUAUGCUUGCAUUUAGAAUUUCUUAAUCUGUUACUAUAGCUGUGUGUGUGUGAGUGUCAGGAGAGACAGAGACAGAGAGACAGAGACAG